CUCAAAUCUUGUUCAGGUUCUACAAGGGAGGUGGACAGUGAUAUGUACCAGCAAAAGGAAAGUACCAAAUGCCACCCUAAAGUGGGCAAAUAGGAAGAUUCAGCCUGCAAGGAAUGGACAUUUGCCAACAAGCUUUCAUUCUCUCACACCCUUGGAAAUGCUCUUUUUGUCUUUCCAUUCUCAGGCGCUGUUUUCUCCACUGUUUUUUAAAUUUAUUUUUUAUUUAAAAAUGUCUUGGUCUUAACAUUUCAGAUGACACAAGCCUGUGUUCUGACACCCAACCUUAUCCUGAGCCUUACAGCAAUUCCACUGCAGCUUCUAAGCCUCUGCCUGGACUCCACUAGGUCACUGGCCAACAGAAUCCAUUCUGGCUGCCCUAGUGUGAAGCAUGCUGGGAGCCUACUCAAGAGAGGGAACUGCACCCAGCACAAGAAGAUAGUCUUGGGAAUACAGUCUGUUUUUGAAGUUGUCUUCUUCAUUCUUUGCUAUGACUUUAUUUUCCUCUUCUCAAAAGUGACAAUAUGGUAGUGCAUUCCUUGGUAUGCCCUUGAUAGGUAAUGGGAAAGUCUGAAAGGUUUCCUUGAGAUCAGAGCUAAGCGGCUGCAUUAGAUUAAUAUAAUUUUCUUGCUUAAACAACAACCUUGAAUAUCCAACUCAUUCCAAUUCAACACACACCCAUUGGGUAUUUACCCUGAGGAGCUAACACAAGGCUCUGUACUAGAAAUUUCCAGUGUUAUUUAAUAAUUACAACAACCAUGAAUGUAACAGCCCUAUUUAUAAAGGAAAACAAAACCAAAAACACCCAUACCCUCAGAGAGGGUAAUUUAUUUGCUGAAAGUCAAAGAAGCCACAUCAAACCCAGGCAUUCAAACUCCAAAAUUGCAGACUGACUGUGGAAUUCAAGGCCUCCCAAACACUCUCUCUCUACCUAAGUAUCUGCAAAGCCAGGUUGACAACCAUGCUUUUGUCCAACAUAGAAGAGUUAGAAGACCACUUUUCC
rnacentral:lncRNA from 1 species